rnacentral:lncRNA from 1 species
CCACUGCUCAAGGAAUUGCAUCGGUGCUUUGUGCUCAUGGCCCUGAGGUGGAAUGGAGAAUCUGUACAAUAUGGGAAGCAGCUUAUGGCCUGAUUCCUUUAAGUUCCUCAGCAGUUGAUCUUCCUGAAAUUAUAGUUGCUACUCCAUUGCAACCUCCCAUAUUAUCAUGGAACCUAUACAUCCCUCUCCUUAAAGUCCUGGAAUAUCUUCCUCGUGGGAGUCCUUCAGAGGCAUGUCUCAUGAAGAUAUUUGUUGCCACUGUCGAAGCAAUUAUUAAAAGAACCUUCCCACCUGAGUCCUCUCCAGAAAACACUCGAAGGGCAAGGCAUCUCUCGGGCAUAGGAUCUGCCUCUAAAAAUCUUGCUGUGGCAGAGCUUCGAACAAUGGUCCAUUCACUUUUUUUAGAAUCAUGUGCCUCUGUGGAGCUUGCAUCACGC